rnacentral:lncRNA from 1 species
GGCGGCAGUGAGGGUGUGUGUAUGUGUGUGUGAGAGCUCCGGGAGGGAGGGUGAGGAGGGGGGGUGAGGGGGGAGAAGGUAGCCCGGAUUGGUUCGGGUUCUCCACAGACGAGACAGGGAACAGAAGAUCUGAGACCCUCCCUGCCGGUACCGCCUCCUUUCCCCCCACCCGCCCCACUUCUCUGAGCUCGGGGAUCCAUAGGACCCUGAAAGUUUGGGAAUCUGAUCCUCCCCAGGGCUCCUCGAAGGGUCUGGGGGCUCUCUGGCCUUAAUGUAGAGGUCCCGGGGCCCUGGUGAAGGAAAUCUGUCUGAUUCGGGUUCGGCAGCUGCUAACUUCGGGAUGAAAUUUCCUCUCGCCUAAUUAGGGUCGUCUUACAUCCAAAGCAUCGCAGCCUAGGACCAGACAACCCCCUUGGGCCCCCCACCUCCCAGGUUCUGGAGGGGAAACCUAGGCCGCGCAAACUUGCCUACCCCAAACCGGGCUUUCCUUUGAGCUGCGCACUGCUGAGGACGGAAUCGGCGCGUCCUGGAGCUGCGCUCUGCGCGGGAGUUGGGAGCAACGAUCCCCGAUCAGUCUUAUACUGGAGUCCAUAAACUACUUUAAAAACAAUUUUUAGCUGGAAAAAUCUACAUGAAUUGAUGCGGAGUGAAAUAAGCAGAACCAGAAGAACAGUGUACAGGAACAGCGAAAUUGAGGGAUGACCAACUGUGAAAGACUUGGUUCCUCUCAGCAAUCCGAUGAUCCAGGACAAUUC